CCAACAUUAUAAAUAAAACUUCACUGGUUUCUUUUUUGAAAUGAGCAUGAGCAAAUCGGCAAAUCUCAAAUUUGCACAAAUUUAUUUUAUUUACGCGCCAUUAUUUAGCUUGUAUUUGUAAAUUUGUUUGAUUGUUUGUUUUGUAUCUUGCCGUCGUCUUUUGAGGAACGGCAACGGCUAAUCAUUUACAUUUUAAUACGUAUAUCUGUAUUUUACAAUCGCAAUUAUGCAAAAUUUUUUAACUUCUAGUUCGAGAUCAUCAGAUGAAGAGGAAUUUAUUAUUGUACUUAGUUAGAAGAAAACCAAAAAUUUACAGACUAAGAACCAACUGUUUUGAAAAAUUUGAUGAUGUUGAUUUUUUUCGAAAAUUUAAUUUACGAAAACAGACAGUUUUGUUCCUUUUGCACAAAAUAGAAAGGCAAAUCUCUUUGCCUACUAAUAGAGGUGGAUCCAUUACUCCCAUGCAACAAAUACAGUGACGGUUUUAGACAUCAUGGGACCCUAGGCGGCCAUAAGAAGUAGACCCCUUUAUAGCGACCAUUUACUUAAAACAAAUUUACAGAUAUUUACAAAAUAAAUGACGACUGUAAAAAAGAU
rnacentral:misc_RNA from 1 species